rnacentral:rRNA from 1 species
AGGGCGCCACCAGGAGGGGAGCCUGCGGCUUAAUUUGACUCAACACGGGAAAACUCACCCGGCCCGGACACGGUAAGGAUUGACAGACUGAGAGCUCUUUCUUUUUUCGGUGGGGGGGGGGGCAUGGCCGUUCUUAGUUGGUGGAGGGAUUUGUCUGUUUUAUUCCGAUUACGAACAAGACUCUGGCCUAUUAAAUAAACGGAUUAUCGAAAUGUAUCUCGGGCUUCUUAGAUGGACAAGCGGCGUCUAGCCGCUUGAAAUAAAGCAAUAACAGGUCUGGGAUGCCCUUAAAGGCCCGGGGCUGCCCGCGCCCUACACUGAAAAAAACAGCGUGCGCUUUACCUAGUUCGGAAGAGCUGGGAAACCCAAGAAAAUCCCAGUGGCUUGGUUUAGGGUAGGGAUAUGUAAUUGCAAUUAUUGGAAUUGCACCGAGGAAGUUGCACUAAACGUCGGGUUGAAAACGACCUUUUUGGGGCCAACGCAGACACUAACCCACACUACUCGUUGAUCCCUUCUCGC